UCCCUGGUGGCUCAAAGGGUAAAGAAUCUGCCUGCAGUGCAGGAGACCCGGGUUCAAUCCUUGGUUUGGGAA
rfam:TPA: Bos taurus chromosome 22, whole genome shotgun sequence.